rnacentral:rRNA from 1 species
UACGUAGGGUGCGAGCGUUAAUCGGAAUUACUGGGCGUAAAGCGUGCGCAGGCGGUUUGGUAAGACAGGUGUGAAAUCCCCGGGCUUAACCUGGGAAUGGCGCUUGUGACUGCCAGGCUAGAGUGCGUCAGAGGGGGGUAGAAUUCCACGUGUAGCAGUGAAAUGCGUAGAGAUGUGGAGGAAUACCGAUGGCGAAGGCAGCCCCCUGGGACGUGACUGACGCUGAUGCACGAAAGCGUGGGGAGCAAACAGG